GAAAGUAAACAGACAUCCACAGAUGCUUUCAUUGAUGAAGGAGUAAAGGGCAGGCGCAGAUCAGCCUCCCCAUCUUCAAGGGCAGCUCAGAACCACCUCCACAUGGAGGAGACAGCUCUUCCUAGUCAUCCUCAGUGACUGCCCUGACCUUGAACACCAACAGCACCUGAGAGGCUCAUCCCCGUUAGACGCCAUUUACGCACAGCAGUGGGAUUUUCAUUUCCAAAACCAGCAAUCUUAAGAGCCUGAAGGAAACUUUCAAGUCAACCAGUUAGACCCCUUCCUAACCUUUUCAGUACCCUUCUCAGACAGUCUUUAAAAAUUAAAUUCAACUAUUUCAGGUUAUUUUUUUCCCAUCAUUUAAUCUUCACCGUCCCCUUCUUUACUAUUCUCAUAUCUGGCUCAUAAUGUAAAUGAGAAAGAAAAGGGCCAAGUACCAAAUAAAGGAAAGUAGAAAGAGUUUUAAAGAAGAAAAAUGGUGGUCCUUCUGUAUCUGUUAUAUACUCCCUGUUUACCUGCCUCUUCCUUCAU